UAAGGUGGCCAGUCAAGUUCUGCAAUAGAAUAUUAGAAAUGUAACUCGGGUCCUAUCUGUCCGUGCCUGAGAGACUUACCCACGCUUUUGUCUUUUCUAGGAUUGAUCAUUGCAAUGUGCUCUUCACUGGCCUGCCCAAACACUUGAUCACGUGUUCAGAUUGUUCACAACGCUGCGGCUGGCAGUGCUUCUAGCACGAUUUACACAUGAUUUUAAGAUCCUAUAAGGCGUUUCAUGGUCUGCUCCAUUAUAGCUUCCUGUAUUAUUAUCACCAUACAGGCCUGGCAACACACUGCACCCCCAGGAUGCCCAUUUAAAAUGCAUGCCAGGGCAAAAGGGCAUUCUCUUACCUCACCCCUUUGCAAUUCCUUACCACCUUUGGUCUGUUCCUGUUUUUAAAUCUCAUUUAAGAACACACCUUUGGGAAAAGGCAUUUCCUGGUACACAUUUUAAUGUUACCAAUUGAUUUUUCAUAGCUGACUAAUGACUAAUGAUUUACUAUUAAUUUGAAACUAUGAUUUAAUCAUUUUUGUUCUAAAAUCUGCUGAGCGCUUUGAGAGGCUCUGGUACUGAAAGGUGCUAUAUAAGUGAAAAGCUGUUGUUGCCAAGAUAUUCUAUGGUAGUUGAAUUAAAGGUGAAAUCUUCCACAGAAAAUAUUUCAUUUUUGGCUGUUCCCUUCUAGGCAAAAUCGCCACCCGAUGGACCCUUUAGAAAACAGGGUACUGCUGUACUUUCUUUCUGCAAGUGGGAAACAACUCAACAUUAGCUCAUUGAAACAGACACUAUAUACAUAACACAUUAAGAUCAAGAAAUGUAUUUUUCAAGCUACAUUUACUAAAGAAAAAACAACUGAUACAGAAAAUAUAACAUUUGUUUUUUUUUUUCUCACAUAUUUACAAUAUCAGGGUCAAAUUAUGUACAAGAUCUGGGAAAGGACCCAACUUUUAAAAAAUAAAUGGGGUGGGGAAAGGAAGGGGGUCUGCAAACAGCAAGGGCUUAUUCUACAACCAAUGUACACAACCAUGAACUACUGGCUUAUGUUCUCUCAGUAUGAACAUUUAAACUGAA